UCCAUGAAACCUACGGUACCGCACAAUGC
rnacentral:sRNA from 1 species